UUGUAUUUGUGGUGAAUGACAAAAAUCAAAUGUUACAAAAGUCAGCAACUAGUCUACAAGCAUUUAAAAACUCAAAAAGUAAGACUUUCAAAACAUUUGCCGUUUUUUAAAAUGUCAGCACAAGCAUGUUAACGUUUGAAUAGGAAGCUCAUGUUCCUGCAUACUUUUUUCAACUUGAAACAUAGAAUAGAAAUGACUAAAUG
rnacentral:lncRNA from 1 species